rnacentral:rRNA from 1 species
AUUGAACGCUGGCGGCAUGCUUUACACAUGCAAGUCGAACGGCAGCACGGGGGCAACCCUGGUGGCGAGUGGCGAACGGGUGAGUAAUGCAUCGGAACGUACCCAGUCGUGGGGGAUAACGCAGCGAAAGUUGUGCUAAUACCGCAUACGACCUGAGGGUGAAAGCGGGGGACCGUAAGGCCUCGCGCGAUUGGAGCGGCCGAUGUCUGAUUAGCUAGUUGGUGGGGUAAAGGCCCACCAAGGCGACGAUCAGUAGCGGGUCUGAGAGGAUGAUCAGCCACACUGGGACUGAGACACGGCCCAGACUCCUACGGGAGGCAGCAGUGGGGAAUAUUGGACAAUGGGCGCAAGCCUGAUCCAGCAAUGCCGCGUGUGUGAAGAAGGCCUGCGGGUUGUAAAGCACUUUUGUUCGGGAAGAAAUCAUGUCGGUUAAUACCCGAUGUGGAUGACGGUACCGAAAGAAUAAGCACCGGCUAACUUCGUGCCAGCA